rnacentral:rRNA from 1 species
CCUACGAGGAGCAGCAGUGGGGAAUAUUGCACAAUGGGGGAAACCCUGAUGCAGCGACGCCGCGUGAGCGAUGAAGUAUUUCGGUAUGUAAAGCUCUAUCAGCAGGGAAGAAAAUGACGGUACCUGACUAAGAAGCCCCGGCUAACUACGGGCAAGCAGCCGCGGUAAUACGGAGGGGAAAGCGUUAUCCGGAUUUACUGGGUGGAAAGGGAGCGUAGACGGCUGUGCAAGCCAGAUGUGAAAGCCCGGGGCUCCACCCCGGGACUGCAUUUGGAACUGUGUGGCUGGAGUGUCGGAGAGGCAGGCGGAAUUCCUAGUGUAGCGGUGAAAUGCGUAGAUAUUAGGAGGAACACCAGUGGCGAAGGCGGCCUGCUGGACGAUGACUGACGUUGAGGCUCGAAAGCGUGGGGAGCAAACAGGAUUAGAUACCCGAGUAGUC